CCGUACGAUCAGUGAAGUUAAGCAACGUCGAGCCUGGUUAGUACCUAAAUGGGUGACCGACUGGGAAUCCCAGGUGUUGCAAG